rnacentral:rRNA from 1 species
AUUGAACGCUGGCGGCAGGCCUAACACAUGCAAGUCGAGCGGAGCGGCGGACGGGUGAGUAAUGCCUAGGAAUCUGCCUGGUAGUGGGGGAUAACGUCCGGAAACGGGCGCUAAUACCGCAUACUAUCAGAUGAGCCUAGGUCGGAUUAGCUAGUGGGUGGGGUAAAGGCCUACCAAGGCGACGAGCCGUAACUGGGCUGAGGGGAUGAUCAGUCACACUGGACCUGGGACACGGCCCAGACUCCUACGGGGGGCACCAGUGGGGAAUAUUGGACAAGGGGCGAAAUCCUAAUCCAGAACUGCCGCGUGUGUGAAGAAGGUCUUCGGAUUGUAAAGCACUUUAAGUUGGGAGGCGUUACCAACAGAAUAAGCACCGGCUAACUUCGUGCCAGCAGCCGCGGUAAUAC